rnacentral:rRNA from 1 species
GUGGGGAAUAUUGGACAAUGGGCGCAAGCCUGAUCCAGCCAUGCCGCGUGAGUGAUGAAGGCCUUAGGGUUGUAAAGCUCUUUCACCGAUGAAGAUAAUGACGGUAGUCGGAGAAGAAGCCCCGGCUAACUUCGUGCCAGCAGCCGCGGUAAUACGAAGGGGGCUAGCGUUGUUCGGAAUUACUGGGCGUAAAGCGCACGUAGGCGGAUAUUUAAGUCAGGGGUGAAAUCCCGCAGCUCAACUGCGGAACUGCCUUUGAUACUGGGUAUCUUGAGUAUGGAAGAGGUAAGUGGAAUUCCGAGUGUAGAGGUGAAAUUCGUAGAUAUUCGGAGGAACACCAGUGGCGAAGGCGGCUUACUGGUCCAUUACUGACGCUGAGGUGCGAAAGCGUGGGGAGCAAACAGGAUUAGAAACCCUUGUAGUCC